rnacentral:rRNA from 2 species
GGGCAGGGCGGCGUGCUAUACAUGCAGUCGAGCGCGGGAAGCGAGCUGAUCCCUUCGGGGUGACGCUCGUGGAACGAGCGGCGGACGGGUGAGUAACACGUGGGCAACCUGCCUGUAAGAUCGGGAUAACUCCGGGAAACCGGGGCUAAUACCGGGUAAUACUUUCUUUCGCAUGAAGGAAAGUUGAAAGAUGGCUUCUCGCUAUCACUUACAGAUGGGCCCGCGGCGCAUUAGCUAGUUGGUGAGGUAACGGCUCACCAAGGCGACGAUGCGUAGCCGACCUGAGAGGGUGAUCGGCCACACUGGGACUGAGACACGGCCCAGACUCCUACGGGAGGCAGCAGUAGGGAAUCUUCCGCAAUGGACGAAAGUCUGACGGAGCAACGCCGCGUGAACGAUGAAGGUCUUCGGAUCGUAAAGUUCUGUUGUUAGGGAAGAACAAGUACCGUGCGAAUAGAGCGGUACCUUGACGGUACCUAACGAGGAAGCCCCGGCUAACUACGUGCCAGCAGCCGCGGUAAUACGUAGGGGGCAAGCGUUGUCCGGAAUUAUUGGGCGUAAAGCGCGCGCAGGCGGUUCCUUAAGUCUGAUGUGAAAGCCCACGGCUCAACCGUGGAGGGUCAUUGGAAACUGGGGAACUUGAGGACAGAAGAGGAGAGUGGAAUUCCACGUGUAGCGGUGAAAUGCGUAGAUAUGUGGAGGAACACCAGUGGCGAAGGCGACUCUCUGGUCUGUUUCUGACGCUGAGGUGCGAAAGCGUGGGUAGCAAACAGGAUUAGAUACCCUGGUAGUCCACGCCGUAAACGAUGAGUGCUAGGUGUUAGGGGGCUUCCACCCCUUAGUGCUGAAGUUAACGCAUUAAGCACUCCGCCUGGGGAGUACGGCCGCAAGGCUGAAACUCAAAGGAAUUGACGGGGGCCCGCACAAGCGGUGGAGCAUGUGGUUUAAUUCGAAGCAACGCGAGAACCUUACCAGGUCUUGACAUCCUUGGACCUCCCUAGAGAUAGGGAUUUCCCUUCGGGGACCAAGUGACAGGUGGUGCA